rnacentral:rRNA from 1 species
UACAGAGGGUGCGAGCGUUGUCCGGAAUUACUGGGCGUAAAGGGCGCGUAGGCGGCUUGGUAAGUCGGGGGUGAAAGUCAGCGGCUCAACCGCUGGACUGCCUUCGAGACUGCUUGGCUUGAGCAUGGUAGAGGCUGGCGGAAUUCCCGGUGUAGCGGUGGAAUGCGUAGAGAUCGGGAAGAACAUCGGUGGCGAAGGCGGCCAGCUGGGCCAUUGCUGACGCUGAUGCGCGACAGCGUGGGGAGCAAACAGG